rnacentral:rRNA from 1 species
GACGAACGCUGGCGGCGUGCUUAACACAUGCAAGUCGAGCGGUAAGGCCCUUUCGGGGUACGACGAGCGGCGAACGGGUGAGUAACACGUGGGUGACCUCGCCCUCCAGCUCUGGGAGUAAGCCUGGGAAACCGGGUACUAAUACUGGAUAUGACUCCAUGACGCAUGUUGGUGGGGUGGAAAGCCUUGUGCGGCUGAGGAU